rnacentral:lncRNA from 1 species
ACCAAUACAUUUGCCUAAAAAUAAACAAUAGUUUCUUCUAAGCGACUGAUCCACACUUCUGGAAAUUAAGCACGCUCUCCCCUGAUCCUACGAGCCAACUGGAUGUCCUUGGGCAUAAUUGUGACACGCUUGGCAUGGAUCGCGCAAAGGUUGGUGUCUUCAAAAAGACCCACAAGGUAUGCCUCUGCAGCUUCCUGGAGAGCUAGAACAGCAUGGCUCUGGAAACGCAAAUCAGUCUGCAUACAGAGACCGUAACAGGGAUUGUCAAUCAAAAGUUGAUAGCAUCAACGGUCAAGGAAUAGACACAAGAAUAGAGAUAUUUUGUACCUUGAAGUCCUGGGCAAUUUCACGAACAAGCCUCUGGAAAGGCAAUUUCCUGAUAAGAAGCUCAGUACUCUUCUGGUAUUUACGAAUUUCACUGUACAAAUAAAUUAUAAUAUGUCAAAAGCCUAUAAAACGAAACACCCACACUCACAAGAACAAAAAAUCAUGUAAUGAAAAUAUGGAAGAAUACCGAAGAGCAACAGUUCCAGGACGGUAUCGAUGAGGCUUCUUCACACCACCGGUGGUUGGGGCAGAUUUACGGGCAGCCUGUUAUACAACAGAGACAUAUUCGAAGUUAAUCACAAAACAAGAACGCUCAAAUUUGGUAAACCGGAUAUUGUCUUGAAUGCAAUACAAUGAAUCACCUUGGUAGCAAGUUGCUUCCUUGGAGCCUUCCCACCAGUAGACUUACGGGCGGUUUGCUUGGUACGGGCCAUCUCUGCAAAGAUACGAAUAAUUUCAGAAGACAAACAAAAAAAAAAUUCUCAUGAACCAAACAUAACACACAAAAUCCAGAUCUUAGAUAAUUACUGAAUAAUUCCCAAAAGCCCUAAUUUUCAAACUAGAAAACUUCUAAGCCGAAAAAGAAAAUCAGAAUGGGAAUUAAAACAGAAGUCGAAGGUCCUAAAUGAACUCAGAGCCUAUAAAAGGUACCCUAAUUAUAAACAAAUUCAACCUAAUUCUACCUUACCUCCCCUAUUUCCCUAAUUCAACUUACACUACAUGAAAUACAAAAACAAAAUAAAAGAAUCAGAAUUUACAAACCCUAAUUUAUUAUAAAAGUAAACAAAUAAAUAAAAGCUAAGAGAGCGAGAGAAGGUGACUAACUCUGAGAUCUGAGACAAAUGCUUUAUUAUCUUCCGGUUCAAACGUUUGAAAAGGUAAGCAAUUAAGAGGUAUUUAUAGAAGGUUGGGGGGUUUGAUAAUGAAGUUGAUCCGACGGUUAAGAUUUACAAUCCGUGUGUUUCUUUUGUACGAAAUCUGACGGUAAAAACUGUCACAAGUUGUGUUUUCUGAGAGGAAAAGGACGGUUGGGAUUAGAUUAUAGUGGGAAGACACGGAUCGUGAUGGUCGACUAAAAUUGCUUUUUAGCACAAAUGUUUUUUAGGUUGGAUUAAUGAAUUAACACAAAAUUAAAAGUAGUAAAUUUUGUCUAAGAAUAUGGAUUCGAGUAUGUUGAAGCACAUUGUCCUUCUAUUUAUGAGUUAGGAGGGGUUUUGGAUAAUUCUAAAUAUUGUGUAAAAAAACAGAAAUGAUUAUAGUCUAUAAUGAGAUUAUUAAAAAAUAUAUAUAGCAAAUUUGAUUUGGCAUUAACAUUUACUUAUAAAUAGGGUUAAAUUAUGAAAGUUGUGAUUUGGUAGGUUUAAGAAAGAAUUUUGAAUAUUUUGAACUUAGAUUUUAUUAUAAAUUUGAUAUUAAAAUUAUAAGAUUAUUUAAAUUUAUAAAAACCAUAAAUUUUUUUGGCAAAAGGGAUUAAAAAAACUCUUAAUAAAAAUUAAUAAAUCAAUUUACAUCUUAAAAAAAAUAUGCACACAAUUAAAGUCCCAAAAGCAAAAAAUAAAAAAUAAAACUCUUUCAUUACCAAAAACUUUUGUUUAAAAGAGGGGAGAAAUAGACAUCUAAGCUCCUUUUGAUGUAACAUAUAAAUUUGUUUCGCUUCAUUCCAAACACAAUUCAAAUAUAUAUUAUAAAAAAAAUGGUAAAAAAAUUAUAAUAAUUAAUAGUAUAAACAAAACUUAAAAAAUAUUCUUAAAAAAGAGUAAGAAGUGUUUUGAAUAAAAUUUUUAUUUUAGUUCUUAAUAACAUGUGAUAUUUUGGUUUAUAAUUGACUAUUUUGACAAAUCCUUUCAUAGUUAACAAUAUUUAUAAUCUUUAAUGAUUUUUAACAUUCUUUAUAAUUUCAUACAAUAUUUUAAAUAUAUUAUAAUAUUUUCAACUAGGUUGAGCCUUUAUUUAUCUAAGAUUGAUUUUUGGGCAAUUUUUUUUUCUGAAAAUAUUAACUAAUUAAUUAUAUAGAAGUACUCAGAAAAGAAAAAAAAAAACAUCCUCUAACUUGUCUAGUUCUAGAAAGGUUAGAAACGACAUAGGAAGGGUAUCAAAAAUCUACAAAUCCUUUUUUUUAUAUUAAAGUUAGUUUGCUUGAACAAUUCGUAGCUUGAUUUUGCUCUCUAGAAAUAUAAAGCAAGAGCCACCGUUUUUCUUGUGCCAAAAUAUUUUGUAUACAUCUAAUCAAAGUUGAAUUCGACAUGCUAGACUGCAAGGAACGCUUCCUUGAUUAGCUUUAACAAUUUCUAAACUAUAAGAUUUGAUUAUUCCAUCAUCAAAGGCCUCAUAGCCUCUACAUUGGGUUAGCUUGAGAUCGUCCAAAAUAUCCUGAAGUUCGGUGUCAAUGAUCGAACACUUCCCUAAGUAACGGUUAUAGCCAGACACCCAUUCCCAUUCUCAUCACAAUUUACUCCUCGAAAACUACUGUCGAAACCAUUUUUUGAAAACAAAAAUUUAGUUGUCGACUUUAAAAAUAAAAAUUGGAGUCGCCACCGAUCCGUGAUUUAGGUGUGAUCGGCUCACCUUAAAAUGAUUUUGAUCUACGAAAUUUGAAAACGGGUUCGGGAGUCAGUUACGCACGAGGAAGGGUUAGCACACUCAUAACGCCCAAAAUCGGUACCAAAUUGAUUAUUUAAUGUCUUGGUGUCAAAAAUUUGAAAAGAUUUUAAAAAAAAACUCAAAAUGAUGAAAUCUGAAAAGAAUAAUCAAUUGUUCAAGUUAGAUAAAGAAAUCGAGACCCAAUACGUUAGGGUACAAUUUCUCAAAACUCCCGAACUUUGAAUAUCGUUUUAAAAUUUUAAAGAAAAUCUUCAUUUCGAGAAAGUUAUAUGUCAUGCCCAAUGCGUUAGGACAUAACAUAUUGAAUUCCCGAAAAUAAUUUGUGCUUAUACGUUUUGAAAAAGAAAAUUCUCCAUUAUUUAGGAUUAAUAAAGAAAAUCGGAACCCAAUACGUUAGGGCUCCAUUUCCUCGAAAAUCCCGAAUAUCGAAUAUCACUUUUAUUUUAAAAGCCUUUGAAUCAAAAGAAAAUGAUUUUAAAGUUUUGACGAAAUCAAAAUAUAUAUUUUCUAAAAGAUACGUUAAAAAUAUUGAUGUAAUAUGAAACAAAUAUUUUAAUUUAAAUUAUAUGUAUAUAUGUUUACAAAAUAUGUAUAUAUAAGUAAAUUUUAAAAAUAUGAAUAUGCAUAUAUGAAACAUGUAUAUAAAAGUUAUGAAAAUAAAGUGUAAAAUAUGUAUAGGUAUAAAAAAAUAAGUAAAAUAUAUUAAUAAAUUAUGAAAAAUGCGUAUAUAUAUGUAUAUGCAAGAAAAAUGCGGAAAAUAUAUUUAACAAUUUUGAAUAGUGUAUGUAUAUACAUAUAUUAAAAUAUAUAUAUUUGGAUUAAAAAUAUGAAAAAGUGUAUGAAAAUUAUAAAAUAUAAGUAUAUGUACGUAUAUAUAUAUAUGUAUAUAAAACUAAGAAAAAUAAAGUAAUAAGAAAAUAUAUAAGACAUGUAUAUAUACUGUAAAACCAUUUAAAAUAUGUACAUAUAUAUAUAUAUUAACGUACAUAUGCGUAUAUAUAUAGAUAUAAUAAUAUUAAUAUUUAAUAUAAUAAUAUAUAAUACUAAUAAUCAUACAGUAAUAAUAACAAUUUAACAGUAUUAAUAAAAAAAACCUUAAAAUGACAAAUGGAGGAUUAAUCUGAAAAUAAACAAAAUUUAAAGGUUGAAUUAAAAAAUAAAAAACGAGAAAAGGAUCAAAUUAAAACGCGCGCAACAGGAGGAGGACCGAAAAAUAAAUUUACCCAAACCUCCCAAAACGCUGUGCAGCAUUGGAUUAAACUGAAAUCAAAAUAAAAUAUGCUGUAAAAUUUAAAAGAAAUAAUAAGCUUAAUUAAAACACACUGAAACAACAAAGGACAAAUUAAGGAAAUAGACCAUCUAAGGCAGAAACGCGCGGACCCUGCCUGUGGGUCGGGUCGACGCGCGGAUCUGCCCACGUUGAACGGCGCCGUUUUGUUUUAAGUAUAAAAAGAAAAAAAAUUCUGUUUUGUUUUAAAAAAUUUUAUUUUUUCUGUUUGAAAACAAAAAAAUAAGAAAAUGGAGUGCUAGGGUUUCUCUUAACUCAAACCCCCAGCCGCCGCAAUGGCUUAGAGCCUCCCUCCGGCCCCGAUUCAGGCAAAUCGACGCUUCUCUCCUCCACGCAGGUACGUAUCUCCUUCACUUUUCUCUUAUUAUUAUUAGUUUUUUAAAAAAAGGGGAAAAAAUCAAAAAAACAAACAAGAAAACAAUAAAAAAUGGAAAUCACCUUUCAAAAUCUUUCUUUUCUGUUUUUCCUUUUGUAUUUUCUUUUUAUUUUCAAUACCAAAAAAUUUUCUAACCAUAUUACAUAAAUCCAUUGGCUUUUUAUAGCCUAAAACCUCUUUACAAUUUGUUGUUGUAUAUUCAGUCAUUGCUACUGUUUGUGGUUCGUUGCAGGUGACGAACGUGCAUGGUGGGACGAGCGUUGUGCGGGGCGACGUGCGCGACAUGCGGGACGACGUGCGGGAAGCUGCUGCGGCGCCAGUUUGCUGCUGCAACACUAAGGCGAAGGGGCUAGGGUUCUUUGAUGGGUUUAUUGGGCUUGGUUAGGUUUAGUUUAAUGGGUAAUGGGUUUGGAUUUGAUGUAAUCUGGGCUUUAGGUUUAGUUGGGCCCAGGCCAAAAAAUUCGGUAUUACAACUACAUUACCUAAUUAAUUUCUUUCCAAGGCUCAUUUGGCUAAAUUUGUUUUUAGAAAUAAUGAUUUUUUUACGUACCAAUUUAAUAAAAAAAAGUUAUUUUAAUUAACCAUUUAAUUAUUCGAUUCUUCAAAUCUAGAAGUUAAGUUUCUUUUAUCCAAACAUCUUGAAAUUUUAAACACUUCACUGUGAAUCUCCACAUUUGUAAUUAAUUAAUUUUUAAUAUAUUUAUUUAACAAAAUUUUUAAAUAAUUCUAAGAAUUUUCUAUAUUUUAAAAAAUAAUUAAUUGUUGAUAUUAUAGUUUUAACUUUAAUUUUUCCACCCAGUAUCGAGUAGUUUGAAAAAUUACAAAUAUAAAUAUUAAAAAAUAAAAAAACUUAAUUUGAAAGCUAAAAAGAUUUUUUUUUUACGAAGUUAGAGCCUAAAUAAGUAAUUAUAGAUUUUUUCUAAUAUCUCAAAUUAUCAAACAAGAAUUAUAUUAAUUAAAUAUAGACUCAACUUCAAAAUCUUGAACCGAAAAAUUCACCUUAAAUGCUUUUCUUCAUCCUAUAUUUGAUAAAACAUUCCAUUAGGAUUUUCACACCAUUACUCGAUGCCACUUGUAAGCACAAAACAUCUUGAUCCUGUUAACAAAAGCACCAAUAUCACUCGUCUAUUUUACGCUAACCAUAGUAAUAAUAUAUACGCUGAAAGACACGCGUCCCACUUUCCACAUGGGACACAUUUUCACCGACAUGAGAGGGUAAUCGCUCUUUCCGGCCUGUCAACAAAUCUAAGCCCAUAAAUUUUCGCUUCCCCAACCUACCACUACAUAUAUCCCCUCCACAAUAUCCUCUUAACGGACCGAUUCCACAAAACUACUAAACAAGAUUUGCUUUUACAAUACAUGAAAAAAUAUUCUAAGUCACUAGUUUUGAGUAGGAAGCAGAUUAAAACAAACUAUACCAGACAUGAGAUCUUAUCCAUUAAAAUAUCAGACAUCACACUCCACCAUAACCCCAUUUCAUCAUAACAUUGAACCUACGCACUAAGAUAAACCUAUCAUUUAAUCUUGUCCUAAAAGAGGAUUAAAAAUAAACAUAAAAAAAAAUAGUACAACACAUCUGCCUAACAACAAACAAUAGUUUCUCCAUUCUAAGUGUGUGAUUAACACACUUGGAAAUUAAGCACGCUCGCCCCUGAUCCUACGAGCCAACUGAAUGUCCUUGGGCAUUAUAGUAACACGCUUGGCGUGGAUCGCACACAGGUUGGUGUCUUCAAAGAGACCCACAAGGUAUGCUUCUGCAGCUUCCUGAAGAGCAAGAACGGCAUGGCUCUGGAAACGCAAAUCAGUCU